rnacentral:other from 1 species
AAUUCCAGCGAGAGGCAGAGGGAGCGAGCGGGCGCGCCCGCCUGGGUGGAAGGAAGGAGGGAGUGAGGACCGGCGCGCUCCGGGGCGUCCUGGGAAGGCAGAUCCGGAGUGAAGGGGGAGGACUUCGCCCGCGGCCCCCGCCGCCAGACCCUGCACCCCCUGCGGCCCACCGCCCUCGCCACAUCCGCGAAACUUUGCCGGGUUUCUGCGGCCGGACUGUGCUCUGGAACUUACAACCUCCCCAGCUAGGACACCACUCUCCCGGACGCGGGGAGGAGAAGACUGCUGCUGCCCAUUCGGGGGGACCACUUUUCCUCGCCUU